rnacentral:rRNA from 1 species
GUUCUCCUACGGGGGGCAGCAGUGGGGGAUAUUGCACAAUGGGGGGAACCCUGAUGCAGCGACGCCGCGUGGGUGAAGGAGUGCUUCGGCAUGUAAAGCCCUAUCGGCAGGGAAGAAGCAAGACGGUACCUGACUAAGAAGCCACGGCUAACUACGUGCCAGCAGCCGCGGUAAUACGUAGGUGGCAAGCGUUAUCCGGAUUUAUUGGGUGUAAAGGGCGUGUAGGCGGGAAUGCAAGGCAGAUGUGAAAACUAUGGGCUCAACCCAUAGCCUGCAUUUGAAACUGUAUUUCUUGAGUGCUGGAG